GACGAACGCUGGCGGCGUGCUUAACACAUGCAAGUCGAACGGAAAGGCCCUGCUUUUGUGGGGUGCUCGAGUGGCGAACGGGUGAGUAACACGUGAGUAACCUGCCCUUGACUUUGGGAUAAAUUCAGGAAACUGGGGCUAAUACCGGAUAGGAGCUCCUGCUGCAUGGGGGGGGUUGGAAAGUUUCGGCGGUUGGGGAUGGACUCGCGGCUUAUCAGCUUGUUGGUGGGGUAGUGGUUUACCAAGGCUUUGACGGGUAGCCGGCCUGAGAGGGUGACCGGCCACAUUGGGCCUGAGAUACGGCGCAGACUCCUACGGGAGGCAGCGGUGGGGAACAUUGCACAAUGGGCGCAAGCCUGAUGCGGAAACGCCGCGUGCGGGAUGACGGCCUUCGGGUGGUAAACAGAUUUCGACUGUGACGAAGCGUGAGUGACGGUAAUGGGUAAAGAAGCACCGGCUAACUACGCG
rnacentral:rRNA from 1 species